rnacentral:misc_RNA from 1 species
AGACAAUGCUCAAAGGUGGUUAUUUUUCUUUCAUUUUGGUUAAUGCCUAAAUAAUUAUUUUCUCGGUGGUUAUUAUUCUUUCAUUUUAUUUAAUGUUUUAACAAUUAUCAGUACAAGGUGGUUUUGUGUUGUACUUCCAAUGGAAAUUGCAAGGUUGAAUCUGUUAUCUUUCCCCUGUUCUAAUAUUAAUGGAAAGUAGACUUUUUUUUUUUUAAAUUCCUUCUG